CAUUUUCUGUUUUAGAGGAAUGCACGCAGUUGUAAAUGUGAACUGGUGGAUGGUUAAGAAGCUGAUGUGUCUUCUAGAAAUCUAAACAAAUUUGUGCAGAAUAUGAGACAGGCAGAAUAACCAUAGGUCCAUUAGUGUCAACUGUCUUUGCCAAUGGGUGGAUCCACACUGCAAAACUUAUGAAGAUGAUUGCAAAGCGAAGAAGAGUCCUUGGACAAAGCAUUAAACCCUCUUGGUCCCCACUACACAGACUAAUGACGUUGAAGUACCCAAAUGAAGACACUAGCAGUGUUAUUAUGGAGUAUAUGGAUACAGACGUUGGCAGCACUCAGGAGGUGAUCCAGAGGAAUCAUGGGAAUCUAUGUCAUACGAUUUGAAGGUGCAGACAUUGAAGACAGCACAGCAGAUGUUGGAGUGUUGGAAAAUAAAGUUCUUCAGGA